rnacentral:misc_RNA from 1 species
AGCGGUGCGCGUUGCUUGUGCCAUCUACCCGGUCCCUUGGGAACCCGACGUGACCCACACUCCAGUCCGCCCCCCCCCCGGCCCUCGUCGUGCGAGGGGCGGCCGCGGCGCGGGCGUCGCGCGCCCCCGGACAAAGCGGCCGUCAGGCCCCCGUCCCGGUCGGGCUCCCGACGUCCCGCGAGCGCUCUCGGAUGCGGCACGUGCCGCGGGCUUCGGGGACUUCGUUCCCCGACCCGGACCUCGGUCGGUCGUCGAGCCGCCCUCGUCGAGAGGACGGCCGGCCCGUCGUCGGGCCCCUUCCGCCCCCCCGCGGGCGGGCGGGCGCCCCGGCGGCGG